rnacentral:rRNA from 1 species
AACGAACGCUGGCGGCAGGCUUAACACAUGCAAGUCGAGCGCACUCUUUUAGAGUGAGCGGCAAACGGGUGAGUAACGCGUGGGAAUCUACCCCUCUCUACGGAAUAACACAGAGAAAUUUGUGCUAAUACCGUAUACGUCCCUUCGGGGAGAAAGAUUUAUCGGAGAUGGAUGAGCCCGCGUUGGAUUAGCUAGUUGGUGAGGUAACGGCUCACCAAGGCGACGAUCCAUAGCUGGUCUGAGAGGAUGAUCAGCCACACUGGGACUGAGACACGGCCCAGACUCCUACGGGAGGCAGCAGUGGGGAAUAUUGGACAAUGGGGGCAACCCUGAUCCAGCCAUGCCGCGUGAGUGAUGAAGGCCCUAGGGUUGUAAAGCUCUUUCGCCGGUGAAGAUAAUGACGGUAACCGGAGAAGAAGCCCCGGCUAACUUCGUGCCAGCAGCCGCGGUAAUACGAAGGGGGCUAGCGUUGUU